rnacentral:piRNA from 1 species
GGUCUUGCUACGUUUCCCAGACUGGUCU